AUGGAUAUAGAAAAACGUAAAAUAAGAAGAGCUUUGAAAAGUUCUACUACUAAAUUUCUCACUAACUUAGAUAAAAACCUUGAUGAUUUGACAAUAUAUGAAUUAGAAACAUCUUUAGAACAUUUAAGUGAGAAAAUGUUGAACAUAAAAUUAAUAAAUGAAGAGAUAAAGGAACUAGAUGUUAAAGAUAUCGAAAAGGAAGUUGAAUCCUCUGAAACGUAUGUAGAAGAUUUGAUUAACUAUAAAUGUAAAAUUAAACAGAAGAUUCAAAAAAUUAGUGUCACUCCCUCAACUAGUUCUAAUUUAAAUGGUAAACUACCGAAAUUAACUGUAAACAAAUAUUUCGGAGAUCCAAAUUCAUGGUUGGAAUUUAUCGGCCAGUUCGAAAAUUCAAUUGAUAAAAAUCCGUAUCUUUCAAAUAUUGAAAAACUAAUUUAUCUAGAAAGUUUUGUUGGAGGAGCAGCUUCAAAAGCAAUUUCGGGAUUUUCUUUAACGGAUGAUAAUUAUAAAGCAGCCCUUAAUUUGUUGAAAGAUCGGUUUGGACAGAAAAACUUGCUUAAAAAUGCUCAUUUAGGCCAAUUAUUGAAUAUAACACCAAUAAAACAUAACUGAUACUUUUGGAUUGCGAAAAUUAUUCGAUCGAGUAGAAAUCGAAAUUAGAAAUUUAGAAUCGCUAGGGAUUGAUUCGGCAUCUUACGGAAAUCUAUAUGAAGAAAUAAAAAGUCGCGAAAAAACCAUCGCCAUUACAAAUAUAAAAUGUUCGAAUAAUCAAAAAGAAGAUAAAUUUAGAUCAAGGCCGCACCCACAAAAUGAAAUAACAUCCGCUCAUGAAUUAUGCGCGACCGCAACGAGAAUUAAUGAAUGUGUAUUUUGUAGGGGUGACCAUGAAUCUGAGAAAUGUGAUACUCUCACAGUAGAAGAAAGAAAAAAUAUUUUGAUUAAGCAGAGACUCUGCUUUCUUUGCUUGAAACCAAAUCAUCGAUUAAUUGAUUGUUUCAGUAAGAAGAAAUGUGUUUUCUGUAAUCGGAGACACUCAAAAGCGAUUUGCUUUAAGUUAGAGGAAAAUAAACAAACAAAAACUUUAAACGAUAGAGAAAAUUCUAAGGAAAAUUUAGAAAUUGUUUCGGCCAUUUCUUCUUGCGAGAAUAAAUUAAAACAUAAACAAAAUUCGAAUCCCAUUUUAUUACAAACUUGCUCAAUCAUUGCGGAAAAUAAAAACAAACAAGAAAAUGUUAUAAUUUUUCUUGAUAAUGGAAGCCAACGAACUUUCAUAACAAAUAAAUUGGUAAAAAGAUUAAAUUUGCCAGUAAUUAGAAAAGAAAAAUUGUCGAUUAAUUCUUUUGGAUCAGAGCAACCCCAAACUAAAUUGUUUAAUGUAGUUAGCAUCCGAUUAAGAAAUAGGGAAGAUUCUAAUUAUAAAAUAGAUAUAGAAGCCGUAGAAACUGACACUAUUUGUGCAACUCAGCUGCCUUCUCCAAACAAAAACAUUGUUAAGGAUUACGAAUUUUUAAAAACAGUUCAACUUGCGGAUGAUUUUCAAAACGAAACUAAAGAUGUUAUGAUUUUAAUCGGAUCGGAUUUUUAUUUUGAUAUAGUGACUGGCCGAAUUCAUAGACUCGAAAAUAAAUUGGUAGCGGUAGAAACAAUCUUCGGUUGGUGUAUUUAUGGGCACAUAAAUAAAAUAAACAAUCUACUUACUAUGAACGUAGUUGUUAACCGUGGUGAUGAGACUUUAAUUAGACAAUUUUUUGAUCUUGAGUCCAUUGGGAUUUUGCCUGAUUCGCCUGUAACUGAUAACGAGGAAGAAACAAUAGUUCAAGAGUUUGAGUCUUCCAUUACAUUUGAUAAACGUUAUAAAAUUGAAUUGCCCUGGAAAUUAGAAUUGAUUGACAACUUAAAAUCAAAUUAUGAUGUUGCCCUUAAGAGACUCCACCAUUUUGUACACAAAUUCGAAAAGAACCCUUGGUUACUUAAUGAAUAUAGACAAACCAUAGAAUCAUAUCUUGCAGAGGGUAUUAUUGAAGAAAUUCCUGACGCUGAAUAUUCAAAUGAUAAAACUAUAUUUUAUCUUCCCCACAGGGCGGUUAUUAAAGAAGAGCGACAAACUACAAAACUCCGCAUUGUUUAUGAUGCAUCGUCUCACUCAGCUGAAUCCUGUUCGCUAAAUGAUUGUUUAUACACUGGUCCCAAAUUAACUAAUGAUAUUUUUGAUAUUCUAAUUAACUUUAGGAGGAAAGAGAUAGCUUUUGUUGCAGAUUUGAAGCAAGCUUUCCUUAAUAUCGAAAUUGUGGAGGAAGAUCGAGAUGCGACCAGAUUUAUCUGGACGGAACCUCCCUUUGAUGAACUAAAGAUUAAAAUUUAUCGAUUUACUCGUGUUUUAUUUGGACUUACUUCUAGUCCCUUCCUUCUUGCGGCAACUAUAAAAUUUCAUUUGAAGAAUUAUGAAAAAACUCAUCCUCAAACAAUAAAUUUUUUAAGAGAAUCGUUGUAUGUGGACGAUGUGAUAGGAUGUGAGGAUAAUGUAGAUAAAGCUUUUCGUUUCAUUCAGGAAGCUAUUAAAAUUUUUGAAGAUGCGGGUAUGCAACUUAGAAAAUGGAAUUCAAAUUCGAAACCUCUUAUGGACUUGUGGGAAACUAAUAACAUUCAAAUUGAUCACACCAUAGAAAAUUCAGACUUAAUACCUUCUGAGCAUAAAGUACUUGGGAUAGGGUGGAAUAGUGACACAGACAUUUUUUUUUUUAUACUGAACAUCUUAUCAAAUUUUUAUCUGAAGGGAGACACACAAAAAGAUUUUCGCCGAAAGCUGCUGGUCGUAUAUUCGACCCAAUAGGAUAUUUGAGCCCCUUUGUAGUAACCAUAAAGUGUUUAAUUCAAGCA
rnacentral:sRNA from 1 species